rnacentral:rRNA from 1 species
GAACAACUCUCAGCAACGGAUAUCUUGGCUCCUGCAAAAAUGCGAUACGUUAUGUGAAUUGCAGAAUUCCGCGAAUCAUCGAGUCUUUGAACGCAACUUGCGCCCGAGGCUUGUCCGAGGGCAUUUCCGCUAGAGCGUCACC